rnacentral:rRNA from 1 species
GUGGGGAAUAUUGGGCAAUGGGCGCAAGCCUGACCCAGCAACGCCGCGUGAAGGAAGAAGGCUUUCGGGUUGUAAACUUCUUUUACCAGGGACGAAAAAAAUGACGGUACCUGGAGAAUAAGCCACGGCUAACUACGUGCCAGCAGCCGCGGUAAUACGUAGGUGGCAAGCGUUGUCCGGAUUUACUGGGUGUAAAGGGCGCGUAGGCGGGAGAGCAAGUCAGGAGUGAAAUCUAUGGGCUUAACCCAUAAAUUGCUUUUGAAACUGUUUUUCUUGAGUGAUGGAGAGGCAAGCGGAAUUCCUAGUGUAGCGGUGAAAUGCGUAGAUAUUAGGAGGAACACCAGUGGCGAAGGCGGCUUGCUGGACAUUAACUGACGCUGAUGCGCGAAAGCGUGGGGAGCAAACAGGAUUAGAAACCCGAGUAGUCC